AAAUGAAUUGACGGGGACCCGCACAAGCGGUGGAGCAUGUGGUUUAAUUCGACGCAACGCGAGGAACCUUACCAGAUCUUGACAUCUCCGGAAUUAGGUAGAGAUACUUAAGUGCCUUCGGGAACCGGAAGACAGGUGGUGCAUGGCUGUCGACAGCUCGUGUCGUGAGAUGUUGGGUUAAGUCCCGCAACGAGCGCAACCCCUAUCGUUAGUUACUAACAUUAAGUUGAGGACUUUAGCGAGACUGCCUGCGAAGAGCAGGAGGAAGGUGGGGAUGACGUCAAGUCAUCAUGCCCCUUAUGAUCUGGGCUACACACGUGCUACAAUGGACAGUACAAAGAGAAGCAAAAUGGUGACAUGGAGCAAAUCAAGAAAUCUGUUCUCAGUUCGGAUUGAAGUCUGCAACUCGACUUCAUGAAGUUGGAAUCGCUAGUAAUCGCGGAUCAGCAAUGCCGCGGUGAAUACGUUCUCGGGUCUUGUACACACCGCCCGU
rnacentral:rRNA from 1 species